rnacentral:rRNA from 1 species
CGGGACGGGGUGGAGUAAUGUCUGGGAAACGUGCCUGAUGGAGGGGGGUAACUACUGGAAACGGUAGCUAAUACCGCAUAACGUCGCAAGACCAAAGAGGGGGACCGUUAGGGCCUCUUGCCAUCGGAUGUGCCCAGAUGGGAUUAGCUAGUAGGUGGGGUAACGGCUCACCUAGGCGACGAUCCCUAGCUGGUCUGAGAGGAUGACCAGCCACACUGGAACUGAGACACGGUCCAG